GACGAACGCUGGCGGCGUGCUUAACACAUGCAAGUCGAACGGAAAGGCCCUGCUUUUGUGGGGUGCUCGAGUGGCGAACGGGUGAGUAACACGUGAGUAACCUGCCCUUGACUUUGGGAUAACUUCAGGAAACUGGGGCUAAUACCGGAUAGGAGCUCCUGCUGCAUGGUGGGGGUUGGAAAGUUUCGGCGGUUGGGGAUGGACUCGCGGCUUAUCAGCUUGUUGGUGGGGUAGUGGCUUACCAAGGCUUUGACGGGUAGCCGGCCUGAGAGGGUGACCGGCCACAUUGGGACUGAGAGACGACCCAGACUCCUACGGGAGGCAGCAGUGGGGAAUAUUGCACAAUGGGCGGAAGCCUGAUGCAGCAACGCCGCGUGCGGGAUGACGGCCUUCGGGUUGUAAACCGCUUUCGCCUGUGACGAAGCGUGAGUGACGGUAAUGGGUAAAGAAGCACCGGCUAACUACGUG
rnacentral:rRNA from 1 species